rnacentral:rRNA from 1 species
AUUGAACGCUGGCGGCAUGCCUUACACAUGCAAGUCGAACGGUAACAGGUCUUCGGAUGCUGACGAGUGGCGAACGGGUGAGUAAUGCAUCGGAACGUGCCCAGUAGUGGGGGAUAGCACGGCGAAAGCCGGAUUAAUACCGCAUACGACCUGAGGGUGAAAGGGGGGGAUCGCAAGACCUCUCGCUAUUGGAGCGGCCGAUGUCAGAUUAGCUAGUUGGUGGGGUAAAGGCCUACCAAGGCAACGAUCUGUAGUUGGUCUGAGAGGACGACCAGCCACACUGGGACUGAGACACGGCCCAGACUCCUACGGGAGGCAGCAGUGGGGAAUUUUGUACAAUGGGCGCAAGCCUGAUCCAGCAAUGCCGCGUGCAGGAAGAAGGCCUUCGGGUUGUAAACUGCUUUUGUCAGGGAAGAAAUCUUCUGGGUUAAUACCUCGGGAGGAUGACGGUACCUGAAGAAUAAGCACCGGCUAACUACGUGCCAGCCGCCGCAGUAAAAC